GACGAACGCUGGCGGCGUGCUUAACACAUGCAAGUCGAACGGAAAGUCCCUGCUUUUGUGGGGUGCUCGAGUGGCGAACGGGUGAGUAACACGUGAGUAACCUGCCCUUGACUUUGGGAUAACUUCAGGAAACUGGGGCUAAUACCGGAUAGGAGCUCCUGCUGCAUGGUGGGGGUUGGAAAGUUUCGGCGGUUGGGGAUGGACUCGCGGCUUAUCAGCUUGUUGGUGGGGUAGUGGCUUACCAAGGCUUUGACGGGUAGCCGGCCUGAGAGGGUGACCGGCCACAUUGGGCCUGAGAUACGGCCCAGACUCCUACGGGAGGCAGCAGUGGGGAAUAUUGCACAAUGGGCGGAAGCCUGAUGCAGCAACGCCGCGUGCGGGAUGACGGCCUUCGGGUUGUAAACCGCUUUCGCCUGUGACGAAGCGUGAGUGACGGUAAUGGGUAAAGAAGCACCGGCUAACUACGU
rnacentral:rRNA from 1 species